UCGGUCUCUGUAACUCUUGAAAGUCUCCACUGGAACAUUGUUGUCAGUGCCGUAAUUCUUGAACGUGUUCUCCGGGACAUUUGUGUCCGUUCCGUAUGAAGUGAAACUGUCAUUUGCACCAUUUCCGCUUUCACCAUAAUUCGUGAAGGUUGAGCCAAUCACGUUCGACUCUUUGCCGUAGCUGGUGAAGGCAUUGGGGGCGCCAUUGGCGUUUUUGCCAUAGUUGGUGAAUUUUUGAUCGCCAGAAUUUCCGUCUUCGGAAUAAGAAGUGAAAGCUUGUUCCCGGCCAUUGCCGUUGUCGGUAUAAGAAGUGAAGCGAAGAUUAGGAACAUUGACUUCGUUGUUAUGCACCAUUUCCGCUUUCACCAUAAUUCGUGAAGGUUGAGCCAAUCACGUUCGACUCUUUGCCGUAGCUGGUGAAGGCAUUGGGAGCGCCAUUGGCGUUUUUGCCAUAGUUGGUGAAUUUUUGAUCGCCAGAAUUUCCGUCUUCGGAAUAAGAAGUGAAAGCUUGUUCCCGGCCAUUGCCGUUGUCGGUAUAAGAAGUGAAGCGAAGAUUAGGAACAUUGACUUCGUUGUUGUAGUUUCUGAAGUCGCCAACGCCGCCAGUCGCG
rnacentral:lncRNA from 1 species